GGUUAAGUUAGAAAGGGCGCACGGUGGAUGCCUUGACACUAGGAGUCGAUGAAGGACGGGACUAACGCCGAUAUGCUUCGGGGAGCUGUAAGUAAGCUUUGAUCCGAAGAUUUCCGAAUGGGGAAACCCACCAUACGUAAUGGUAUGGUAUCCUUAUCUGAAUACAUAGGGUAAGGAAGACAGACCCAGGGAACUGAAACAUCUAAGUACCUGGAGGAAGAGAAAGCAAAUGCGAUUUCCUGAGUAGCGGCGAGCGAAACGGAACAUAGCCCAAACCAAGAGGCUUGCCUCUUGGGGUUGUAGGACAUUCUAUACGGAGUUACAAAGGAACGAGGUAGACGAAGCGACCUGGAAAGGUCCGUCGUAGAGGGUAACAACCCCGUAGUCGAAACUUCGUUCUCUCUUGAAUGUAUCCUGAGUACGGCGGAACACGUGAAAUUCCGUCGGAAUCUGGGAGGACCAUCUCCCAAGGCUAAAUACUCCCUAGUGAUCGAUAGUGAACCAGUACCGUGAGGGAAAGGUGAAAAGCACCCCGGAAGGGGAGUGAAAGAGAUCCUGAAACCGUGUGCCUACAAAUAGUCAGAGCCCGUUAACGGGUGAUGGCGUGCCUUUUGUAGAAUGAACCGGCGAGUUACGAUCCCGUGCGAGGUUAAGCUGAAGAGGCGGAGCCGCAGCGAAAGCGAGUCUGAAUAGGGCGUUUAGUACGUGGUCGUAGACCCGAAACCAGGUGAUCUACCCAUGUCCAGGGUGAAGUUCAGGUAACACUGAAUGGAGGCCCGAACCCACGCACGUUGAAAAGUGCGGGGAUGAGGUGUGGGUAGCGGAGAAAUUCCAAUCGAACCUGGAGAUAGCUGGUUCUCCCCGAAAUAGCUUUAGGGCUAGCCUUAAGUGUAAGAGUCUUGGAGGUAGAGCACUGAUUGGACUAGGGGUCCUCAUCGGAUUACCGAAUUCAGUCAAACUCCGAAUGCCAAUGACUUAUCCUUAGGAGUCAGACUGCGAGUGAUAAGAUCCGUAGUCAAAAGGGAAACAGCCCAGACCGCCAGCUAAGGUCCCAAAGUGUGUAUUAAGUGGAAAAGGAUGUGGAGUUGCUUAGACAACUAGGAUGUUGGCUUAGAAGCAGCCACCAUUUAAAGAGUGCGUAAUAGCUCACUAGUCGAGUGACUCUGCGCCGAAAAUGUACCGGGGCUAAAUACACCACCGAAGCUGCGGAUUGAUACCAAUGGUAUCAGUGGUAGGGGAGCGUUCUAAGGACAGUGAAGUCAGACCGGAAGGACUGGUGGAGUGCUUAGAAGUGAGAAUGCCGGUAUGAGUAGCGAAAGACGGGUGAGAAUCCCGUCCACCGAAUGCCUAAGGUUUCCUGAGGAAGGCUCGUCCGCUCAGGGUUAGUCAGGACCUAAGCCGAGGCCGACAGGCGUAGGCGAUGGACAACAGGUUGAUAUUCCUGUACCACCUCUUUAUCGUUUGAGCAAUGGAGGGACGCAGAAGGAUAGAAGAAGCGUGCGAUUGGUUGUGCACGUCCAAGCAGUUAGGCUGAUAAGUAGGCAAAUCCGCUUAUCGUGAAGGCUGAGCUGUGAUGGGGAAGCUCCUUAUGGAGCGAAGUCUUUGAUUCCCCGCUGCCAAGAAAAGCUUCUAGCGAGAUAAAAGGUGCCUGUACCGCAAACCGACACAGGUAGGCGAGGAGAGAAUCCUAAGGUGUGCGAGAGAACUCUGGUUAAGGAACUCGGCAAAAUGACCCCGUAACUUCGGGAGAAGGGGUGCUUUCUUAACGGAAAGCCGCAGUGAAUAGGCCCAAGCGACUGUUUAGCAAAAACACAGCUCUCUGCGAAGCCGUAAGGCGAAGUAUAGGGGUGACACCUGCCCGGUGCUGGAAGGUUAAGGAGAGGGGUUAGCGUAAGCGAAGCUCUGAACUGAAGCCCCAGUAAACGGCGGCCGUAACUAUAACGGUCCUAAGGUAGCGAAAUUCCUUGUCGGGUAAGUUCCGACCCGCACGAAAGGUGUAACGAUUUGGGCACUGUCUCAACCAGAGACUCGGUGAAAUUAUAGUACCUGUGAAGAUGCAGGUUACCCGCGACAGGACGGAAAGACCCCGUGGAGCUUUACUGUAGCCUGAUAUUGAAUUUUGGUACAGUUUGUACAGGAUAGGCGGGAGCCUUUGAAACCGGAGCGCUAGCUUCGGUGGAGGCGCUGGUGGGAUACCGCCCUGACUGUAUUGAAAUUCUAACCUACGGGUCUUAUCGACCCGGGAGACAGUGUCAGGUGGGCAGUUUGACUGGGGCGGUCGCCUCCUAAAGUGUAACGGAGGCGCCCAAAGGUUCCCUCAGAAUGGUUGGAAAUCAUUCGUAGAGUGCAAAGGCAUAAGGGAGCUUGACUGCGAGACCUACAAGUCGAGCAGGGACGAAAGUCGGGCUUAGUGAUCCGGUGGUUCCGCAUGGAAGGGCCAUCGCUCAACGGAUAAAAGCUACCCCGGGGAUAACAGGCUUAUCUCCCCCAAGAGUCCACAUCGACGGGGAGGUUUGGCACCUCGAUGUCGGCUCAUCGCAUCCUGGGGCUGUAGUCGGUCCCAAGGGUUGGGCUGUUCGCCCAUUAAAGCGGUACGCGAGCUGGGUUCAGAACGUCGUGAGACAGUUCGGUCCCUAUCCGUCGUGGGCGUAGGAAAUUUGAGAGGAGCUGUCCUUAGUACGAGAGGACCGGGAUGGACGCACCGCUGGUGUACCAGUUGUUCUGCCAAGGGCAUAGCUGGGUAGCUAUGUGCGGAAGGGAUAAGUGCUGAAAGCAUCUAAGCAUGAAGCCCCCCUCAAGAUGAGAUUUCCCAUAGCGUAAGCUAGUAAGAUCCCUGAAAGAUGAUCAGGUUGAUAGGUUCGAGGUGGAAGCAUGGUGACAUGUGGAGCUGACGAAUACUAAUAGAUCGAGGACUUAACCAU
rnacentral:rRNA from 1 species